rnacentral:tRNA from 6 species
UAGAAUUUAGUGUAAUUGGGAGCACGAAGAAUUUUGAGUUCUCAGGAGUAGGUUCAAUUCCUAUAGUUCUAG